UUGUUGGCGUUGCUGUAGGACGCCAUACCAGUGAUGAUCCGAUGAAUGUUUUUGUGACUAUUAUGGAGAAGAAUGUGAACAGCUAAUAUGCACUGUUGCACAUUGUAGAAAAGUGUACCCAGAAGCUUGUUCUGAAAGCUUAAUAAAGACUAAAAGAUUGAAACUUAAUUCUGUGAUAGAUGCAGAAUUUAAAAUAAAUAAGCAAGAUGACCUACAAGAAAUUACCUCCACGUCUUGUGCUGUUGAUUUAGAGAAAUGCAUGUCUGAUGUCGUGGAGAUGUGUGCCACUCACAAAGAGAUCUGUAAAAAGCUUGAUGAAGUUACCAACUCCUUAAAGGAUAUCAGUGAUGUUUUACAAAUAAGAGAUAAGCAGAUGGAUAUGCAACGGCUUUUACGGAAAUGACCUUGAUAGUGUGGAUGCAUGGAGAAGUUUUGCUGCAAACAAAAAGGUUAAAUCAAGUCUGCAUUAUUUAUGGAGUUUAACUCUGUGAAGCAUGAGACACUGAGAAGCCAACUAUGUCUUUGAAAUAUUGAGAAUGUUGAUGUAACGCAC